GCGGUGAGAUCUACGGGGCAACUAAGGGGCUGUCUGCGGGGUCCGCGCUGAGCUUUCGGGGUCGCUUCUCCCGGAAGGCGCGCUCGUUCCUGUGGCGGUGCCUGCCUGCGUCGUCGCCCCUUCUUCAAACCUCAGGAUUUCUCCGUGUUUCCCAGACCGUAAGGUUCCAAAGGUGGAAACACAGAUGACAGAUUUUUGGUCUUUUCAUCGUUUCCUAUGUUUGGAAUAGUUCACCAGUGAAGU